CAUAUUUUAUGCAGAGUAAACCCUUUCGCUUCACAUAUGCCUCUCUACUACUAGUACUACUACGGGUGACCAAAUUCCGUCCAAAAAGAAAUGACAACAUAACUGGUUUGCAGGGUCACCACGAGCUAUCUAGCCUUUGGAAAUAUGGCCCUUUUCUCCUUCUUUGCAGAGGAAAACAUAGCAAACGAUGAUGAGCUUAUGCUGGACAACUUUGUGACGUUCUUCAUUGCGGGGCAAGAGUCAACAGCCAAUCAAUUAGCUUUUGCCGUCAUGGAACUGGGAAGGCUGCCAGAGAUACUGACGAAUUCAAUUCGUAUGUCUGUGGAAGGUUGGAUAAGUUCUUUGAGAACCCGCUGAAGUUUGACCCAGAGAGGUUCCAUCCAGACGCUGCCAAACAUGAGUAACCACCACGCUGCAUUUCGGUCCGACUCUUCUUCAACAGACGAAUGCCGUUACAGACCCUAUUACUGCUACUACCCCUUCUCCCUGGGACCACGCUCAUGUCUGGACAGAGCUUCGCACAGAUGGAGGCCAAGGUAGUGAUGGCCAAGCUGCUCCAGAGGUUUGACUUCAGCCUGCUCCCUGGCCAGUCCUUUGACAUCCUGGACACUGGGUCUUUGAGACCGUGGAGUGGUGUGUAACAUCAGACACAGGACAGACACCCGCAGCCUGACCUGGGACCUGAACAUGACUAGCACUUCUCUAUAACAUACUUGUCUUAUUUCUUAUACUUCUUAGUGGGGCAAAUUACCUUUUUCUUUCAAUGAAGCACCUUAUUGAAUAUCUAGCUAUUUUUAAUGAAAAUCGAUUUUGAACAAUCAUUUAUUUUUUGUAUCAAUGGUGAAAUAAUAUCUUAAAUAUAACGGUUCUUUGUGAUGAAGAGUUACUAGGACAGACUUGACAUAGGAGUGUUUGUAUUUGUACUGAUUCCAUGUUGUUAAUGCACCCUUAUCGUGUAGUUACUAUGCAGUAUACCAUUUAUCACGUAAUAUAAAGGUUACUAUGCAGUAUACCAUUUAUCACGUAAUAUAAAGGUUACUAUGCAGUAUACCAUUAAUCACAUAAUAUAAAGGUUACUAUGCAGUAUACCAUUUGUCACGUAAUAUAAAGGUUACUAUGCAGUAUACCAUUUAUCACAUAAUAUAAAGGUUACUAUGCAGUAUACCAUUUAUCACAUAAUAUAAAGAGAUUUAUAAAGUAUAUAUUAACUUCUUUGAUGAACUUCCUAAUCAACAUUACCACAAUGCCUCUGUUGGAGUGAAUUGACUAUAUUUUAAUAAAAUAAUUGACCAAACAUCACUGA